GACGAACGCUGGCGGCGUGCCUAAUACAUGCAAGUUGAGCGCUGAAGGUUGGUACUUGUACCAACUGGAUGAGCAGCGAACGGGUGAGUAACGCGUGGGGAAUCUGCCUUUGAGCGGGGGACAACAUUUGGAAACGAAUGCUAAUACCGCAUAAAAACUUUAAACACAAGUUUUAAGUUUGAAAGAUGCAAUUGCAUCACUCAAAGAUGAUCCCGCGUUGUAUUAGCUAGUUGGUGAGGUAAAGGCUCACCAAGGCGAUGAUACAUAGCCGACCUGAGAGGGUGAUCGGCCGCCUUGGGACUGAGACACGGCCCAAACUCCUACGGGAGGCAGCAGUAGGGAAUCUUCGGCAAUGGACGAAAGUCUGACCGAGCAACGCCGCGUGAGUGAAGAAGGUUUUCGGAUCGUAAAACUCUGUUGGUAGAGAAGAACGUUGGUGAGAGUGGAAAGCUCAUCAAGUGACGGUAACUACCCAGAAAGGGACGGCUAACUACGUG
rnacentral:rRNA from 1 species